rnacentral:piRNA from 1 species
UGAUAGGAGACCCAGAGAGGAUGCAUGAA